UACGAAGGGGGCAAGCGUUGUUCGGAAUUACUGGGCGUAAAGGGCGCGUAGGCGGUUCGCUAAGUUGGAUGUGAAAACUCUGGGCUCAACCCAGAGCCUGCAUCCAAAACUGGCGGGCUAGAGUUCUGGAGGGGGUAGCGGAAUUCCUGGUGUAGCGGUGAAAUGCGUAGAUAUCAGGAGGAACACCGGUGGCGAAGGCGGCUACCUGGACAGAAACUGACGCUGAGGCGCGAAAGCUAGGGGAGCAAACAGG
rnacentral:rRNA from 1 species